UGCGAGUCGCGGGAAAUUAGAUUCUCGGCGUACCGCUCAGUAACACGUGGGUAACCUGCCCUAUGCUGGAUAAUAACCUCGGGAAACUGAGUAUAAUGAUCCAUAGUUCACUACGCCUGGAACGGUGAGUGGAUGAAAGCUCCGGCGGCAUAGGAUGGGCCUGCGGCGUAUCAGGUAGUAGGGGGUGUAACGUACCCUCUAGCCCUCUACGCGUACGGGUGUUGGGAGACAUAGCCCGGAGAUGGAUUCUGAGACACGAAUCCAGACCCUACGGGGUGCAGCAGGCGCGAAAACUUGGCAAUGCGAGAAAUCGUGACCAGGGAACUCCAAGUGCAUCGGGUAAGACCGGUGCUUUUCUUGACUCUAAAUAGGUCUUGGAAUAAGGGGUGGGUAAGGACGGUGCCCGCCGCCGCGGUAAUACCGGCGCCUCCAGUGGUAGUCCCUUUUAUUGGGCCUUAAACCUCCCUAACCCGUCUGAUACCUUCCUGGGUAAAUCCACCCACUCCACUGGGUGGAUUCUGCGAAGACCGUCAGACUUGGGACCGGGAAAGGGGGGGGGGACGCUCCAGGGAAGGGUAAAAUUCUGUCCACCUGAGCGGAACCCCUGGUGCGAAAGCGCCCCCACUAAAACCGAACCGACCGGUCAAGGGACGAAGCCUAAGGGCAACGAACCGGGAUUAAAUAUCCGGGUAGUCCUAAGUGUAAACGCUGUGGGACUUGAUGUUUGGGGGUGCUUCCGAGCACUCUUAGUGUCGAAGCGAAAGUGAUAAGUCCACUGCCUGGGAAGUACGGUCGCAAGGCUGAAACUUAAAGGAAUUGGCGGGGG
rnacentral:rRNA from 1 species